UUUUUUUUUUUUUUUUUUUUUUUUUUUUUUGGUAUUUUCUAGGGUUGUACCGUGGCACAUGGAGGUUCCCAGGCUAGGGGUCCAAUAGGAGCUGUAGCCACCAGUCUACACCAUAGCCACAGCAAUGCAGGAUCCAAGGUGUGUCUCUGAUCUACACCACAGCUCACAGCAAUGGCGGAUCAUUAACCCACAGAGUAAGGCCAGGGAUUGAAUCCACAACCUCGUGGUUCCUAGUUGGAUUUGUUAACCACCGAGCCGUGACGGGAACUCCUACUUUCUUUUACAAAGACAUCAAUAUUUAUGAUCUCACUGGUUUCACUAAUUCAACUAUCAUUUAGUGAACACCUACCUUGUGACAAGUUAUGCUAUAAGUACUGAAGAUAAAAAAUUAAAUAACACUCUGUCUUUUCCUCACACUAGAUGGUAGGUGCUCUCCUCAGAGCCUGCUGCAUCCCUCAGGGCCCCAGAGAUGCUGAUUUCUGAGUCCUCACUUCCUUAGGAGGGUAAUGUUCCCCUUGCCUUCCUUGCCUUUCAGGAUUAGAAGAUUGAGUUAUGGAGAUCUGAGUUCUGGUCUCUCUGGCAUCAGGCCAUUGUGAAAGGUCCUUUCCUUUCAGGCAGAAAACCGACAAAGUCAGGCACUUUGCUCUGAGGCUUUCAUUUGCGUUUCUAAGUUGAUUGCCUAAAACUGAGACCGCUUUCCCUGUGGGGAGAGGGAUGGACUGGGCUUCUUAAAGUGUGUGUGUGUGUGUGUGUGUGUGUGUGUGUGUGUGUGUGUGUGUGUGUGUGUGUGUGUGUGUGUGUGUGUGUGUGUGUGUGUGGUGUGAUCCCUGAGAAAAAAGGUGGAACUUCAUGCCAAACUGUUGGAAAGAGAAGAGAGGGCAGAGUGUGGGUGGGGUAAUAGGACCCUGUGUCCUUCUUUGAUGUUGUCCCCUUAGGGAGCCCUUAUUAGAGCCUUCUCUAGCCUUCUUCUCUCUAGUCCCUUGUAACUAGCUUCACCUCUGUCACUUUCUCCUUUCACUCCACUGGCCUCCAAGGUGUUUAGCCAGCCAAGCUUGCUCCCUCCUUAUGGCCUUUAUGUUCUGUGUCCCUUCUGUGUGGGCCACUCUCCCCUGAGUCAUGAGGUUAACCUCUGACUUCCUUCAGGUCUUUACUCACCUUCUCUGUGAGGCCUUCCAUGGCCACUCUUUCAAAACUGUCAGCCUUUCAUCCCGAUGCUCUAUACAUUUCCCUGCUCUACUAUGUCUCCUGAGCACUCACUAUUGUUUACUUAAUUUCUGCUAGAAACAGAGCGGAAUGGACAAUAAAAGACAGAUAAUCUCCAGGGGAACAUGGAUUUUUGUCUGUUUGUUUCUUUCUUUUUUUUCUUUUUACAGCUGCACCUGUGGCACAUGGAAGAUCCAGGGCUAGGGCCUGAAUCAAAGCUGCAGCUGAGCCCUAUGCCACAGCCAUGGCAACAUCUAAAACCUGUGCUGCAGCUUAUGGCAGUGCUGGAUCUUUAACACAGUGAGUGAGGCUAGGGUUCAAACCUGCAUCCUUACAGAGACUGUGCUGGGUCCUUAACUCCCUGAGCCACAAUAGGAACUCCUGUCUGUUUUUUUCAUACUCUGUCUUAUAGAAUAGUUCUUUGUACAUGGUACAUUCUUUAGUAAGUAUUUGUUAAGUGAAUGAAUAAUGACAAAAUUCCCUAAGUCUCAGCUAGACAAAUAGGAAGUAUAAUCUCCUUCAUUUAAAUUGAUCAUAUGAUUUGGACAAUUGGAAUUUCAGUAGAAAUUCUUGACUUUAGAAUUGAAGACUCCCCUAAGCUUGUUGGCUAGUAUAGGGAAUCUUAGUAACAAAGGGCAUAAAGUCACAUAGUUUAUGAUAGUUUUAAUCAUAGUUUAUGAUUUUUUGAAGAUGAAGGAGAUGUGGCAUUUCUUGCAUCACAAUGUUUUGAGCAAAGUGUAGCCAGUUCACCUUGAGUGUGCACAAAAGCCAGCCUUGCCGCCUCCUGCUAGCUUUUGUUGGUGCAAGUAUGCCUGGCAGUUUGACUUGAGAAUGGCAUUAAGGACUUGCCAUGGUGCUGACAUGAGAAGUGAGAAAUGGCAAGUGCAUGGAACUAGCACAGGGAGCAAAGGGUCAGUGUUUCAAUACCAGCCAUGGCUUAGUUGAUAAGAUACUGCAAAUGAGUACUUCAUGUGUGUGUGUGAGUCUCUGUGUGUCACAUAAGAAGCAUAUAUUGUGUUAUGUGCACAAUGGCCAGUGAAUUUGAUGCCUCUUUUAUGGAUGCUAUUGGAUGUGUCAGCACUUCUUCCAUUCCCUUCUGUCUUGAGGUGUGUGGAAAUUUCUCCUGUGCCAUCCUUUACUUUGAUAAAGGAAUUGAAAAUAAGGUCUCCUCUCUUUGCUUUUGACUUCUCCAUUCAUAUAAUUGGUUUUCCUCCUUUGCUCAGUGCUCCCUAUGGUCACAUCAUAUUACAAAUUAUUAUAUAAUAAAAGUUGUUGCCUUGUAUUUUCUUUCCUACCUGUUUCCUACAGAACUUGGGAGAAAUAAAAGGAAUUGACCCAGGUUAAGAUGACAAAAAUAAUUAUCCCUCGUUUAAAAGAAGAAAAGUUUACAUUAAUAGACUAAUUCAAAUUUAUUUAAUUUUGCACAGAAUUAAAAAAAGCAUCUCACUGAAAAGUAACAUGAAAAAGAAUAUUAAAAUUCUUGAUAAGUUAAGGGGUUAGAAACUACCAUUUAUUGACUAUGUAUAGGGUACCAUCUAGAAAUUCAGUAACUGAGCUGAGAAAUUGAUGUUAUCCCAUUUUACAGGGAAAGAAACCAAGCUUCAGGGAUGUUAAUAAAUGCUAAGGACAUAUUAGUAGGAAGUGGGAGAGGCUGGAUUUGUAUUUAGAUGUGUCUGAUUCCAACUAAACUUUACUAUGCUGGUUUCCAACUGUCUUUAAAUUCAGAGUGUUCUUAAAAUUUCAGUACUGUACAUUCUAAAUUGAAAGCACUGUAUUUCAUUUCUAAGUAAGAUCAUCUUUUCCCUUUGCCAGAAAUAAUAUCUUUGAUUGCUCUAGCGCUUGGUUUGUAUGAAUUGCUUUCCUUGUUUUCUCAAUGCCAUGCAGGGAUUUAAAGUUCCUUGCUGUUAAAAACAGAGAUGAGUUACCUCAUUUUUGAAAUUCCUACACUGAGUUUCAAAAGCAAAAACAUGUCAUUAGGAGCUUAGGCUCAGAAUCUGAAUUUCAUCUUCUCUGCUUACUUACUGCAUAAUAGUGGCCACAUUCCUUAAUUAGGCUGUACCUCAAUAUCUCUAUCUGUAAAACAGAGGUAAUAUCAUCAAUAUAAAGAUUAAAAUAGUUAAUGUGUUAAUACAAUUAAAGUGCUUUUAAACAGAGCCUGACACACAAACAUCACCAAUAAAAUUUUUAUUUCUACCCAGGCAUGGCAAUCAUAAAGAGACAAUCAUUUUCAUUUUCUGGAACAUAGGAUAUUAGUUUCCUAAGGAUCCUUUCCUUCCAUGUCUUCCUGUUAACUAUCUGCUAGGGUUAUACCAGCUGCGCAUGGUGCUUUUUCACUCAAGAGGAAGACAUCUGAAAAUAGGCCUGUCUGUCUCUUUUAUUUUUAAAUUCAUACAUUUGUAAUGAAAAAAGCAAACUGAUCAUCAUUGGAGGAUCUUAGUGGACCAACUCAGUAUUUUGAAAAUUGGUCAGUACAGCAACAUACUAAAGGCCUAUCCUUCAUUUCCUGUGUGGACUGUCCUACUAGAUAAUCAAUAGUAGAAAAGGAAUUAUUUCUUUUCACAGAAGAGUGCAUGGAUCUAGGCAUUGGACAUCAAUACCCCUAAGAUCAAAGAGAGACAUAGAUAGAUAGACAGAUAGAUAGAUAUAUAGAUAGAUAGAUUAUGUGAUUCCAUUUAAUUGAACAUACCAUCAAUAAAGUAGUCUUAUUAAACACUAUAAUUUAUGGAGUUCCCAUUGUGGCUCAGCAAUAACGAACCUGAUUAGUAUCCGUGAGGACAUGGGUUCAGUCCCUAGCCUUGCUCAGUGGGUUAAGGAUCUGAUGCUGCUGUGAGCUGUGGUGUAGGUUGCAGACAUGGUUUAGUGUUGCUUAGGCUGUGGUGUAGGCAGGCAGCUUCAGCUCUGAAUUGACCACUAACGUGGGAACUUCCAUUUGACGUGGGUGCAACCCU
rnacentral:lncRNA from 1 species